rnacentral:lncRNA from 1 species
UGUACCCUGAUUGUCUCUUCUCAAGUGCACAACCCUCUCCGGACACCGGGUCCUAUCCGGUGGAUGACUCUCCCUACUCCAGUCCUGCACAAUCAAUGACGUGUAGAACAAUUCACUUCACAUCCCACAAUGUUUGUCUUGUAAUAUAAAUAUACUAACACAGGAAAACAAAAGCUAAGGCACUCUGCCUCAUUGAGUCCCUUGUGUUUGCUUGGUGAAUCCAGUUUAUUGUUAAAUGUUCACGUAUCUAAUCACCUAAUCCUAGCCGACGAUAAGCAUAUGCACAAAUUUGAACCAUUUACCUCUUCAUACACCCAGGGGCAUGAGGUCCAUCUUCCCCAUGGACAUACAGAACAAGAAGGGCCCAAUGCUUCAAUAUUAUUGAGCAAAACAAUAUAAGAAUAUGGCAUUAUCCUCACCAGUCUGACAAAAAUCUCAUUGCAUGGUUCUCUUGUGAUUUACACCCUAAUGAAUAGAAUAAAAUUACACACAUUCAUAUGAGAACCACAUUGUUCGUUAAAAGUUAAUAAGCCUAAAUAUAAAUAUCCUCGUUCACAUUCUCUGCUGGUUUGAAAGUAUGAUUGGCUGAAUACUCUUAGACCUUGGUUUGAAAUAUAUACAAAAGUAGUUUUAAGGAACCUUAUAAUGAUGUGUGAACAGAUCAUAUUGUGAAAAAUAACUAAAGUAGGCAGGCAUGAUACUCGUGUUGUUCGACUGAAUUAAUAUUGUACAAUCUAUUUUCCUAGGCGGGAUAGACAACAAAAUUUGUGAGAUAAGCAGCCUCCACAAAGAUCAGAAAGACAUAGAUAUCUGCAAAUAUAUUGGGUCGGGAUAAAGAUUAGGGGGCAGUAAAAUAUUUAAAUCCAGUUUCCUUGGUUGUAUAGCUUUUCUCUAAAUCAAAAGCUUUGCAAUGCUGCUAACGAGGUCUGGCACCAGCGAAGCAAGUCUUUCAAUAUAUCUUAAAAUGAAAUGAAUAAACAAAAAAAUCCAUUAAUGUGCAUUAUCCAAAUUUUUAGACCUUAGUUUUUGUGAAGCCGCUCCUAACAGGUUAGUUUUUACAUCCUUAUAUUCUUCUACCCUUUGUUCCCUCGAGCACCUACUCCCUUAUUGACUUCAUUGCAUCGAAGUUGUUAGUUUUUCGCUUCAGGAAAUAAUCUAGCACAACAACACAUAAGUAAUAUUCUAUUUUCCAUCUUCUACAUGCUUAUCUGUAAGCUCAACAAUUCAUAACACUUAUCCCUGUCCAGCAAGAGCAAUACAAAAUAAUAGGCAUUGUCAAAUAUAUACUCCCUCCGCCCGGAGUUACUUGUCGGUCAAAUUGAUGUAUCUAGCACAUCCGUUUGAGCGGCAAGUAAUUCCGUAUUAACGAAGUAUGUGUCAAUAUUUAAGAUAUUUGAUCAGGCCAAACUUUUCAAAUAUUAUUUUUGGGGAAUUUGGGCUAACCGGAACGAAUUGCUUUCACUAUAUGAUCAAGAGAAAUGAGAUAUUUGGGCGCUGGUAGCACCACCAGGGAAAGGUGUCCUUAAAUAGAAUCCCAUAUAUAAGCUAUAAGCAUAAAUCAAUCACGUAUGUGUAGCACAUAAUAUUUUUAGGAAAUCAGAAUCACCUCAAUAACCAAGAAGCUGAUGCUAGAUGCAUCUUCACUCCAGAUACCAAACAACCAUCUUACAGAACACAUUGAGCUCUUCCAUUCCGCCGCCGUUGUAGCCAUCCAUGGUGAAGCGCCGACUUGUUGGAUUUGAAGAUUAAUUCAUGCUAUUCUCCACCCCAUCCAUAUGAAUCGUAAGCCACUACCACCAUCAUUAUGAGCGUAGAACACAUCUGAAGUAUCAACCUCUCCUUCCCAGUUCCUCAUCGUGCUUAUCCUCGUGUGAAUCAUGAUGACAACCCAGUCAUCACAAUCUGAAAUAAUCGUAAAACAAAAUGAUAAAUGCUA